UACGUAGGGGGCAAGCGUUGUCCGGAUUUAUUGGGCGUAAAGAGCGUGUAGGCGGCUAUACAGGUCCGUUGUGAAAACUGGAGGCUCAACCUUCAGACGUCGACGGAAACCGUAUGGCUAGAGUCCGGAAGAGGAGAGUGGAAUUCCUGGUGUAGCGGUGAAAUGCGCAGAUAUCAGGAAGAACACCAAUGGCGAAGGCAGCACUCUGGGACGUGACUGACGCUGAGACGCGAAAGCGUGGGGAGCAAACAGG
rnacentral:rRNA from 1 species